UCAGAUGGCCGGAUGGCUGCUGCCGUCUUCGGGCGGGAGAGGAAAGUCCGGGCACCACGGAAGAACGGUGCCGGUUAACGACCGGCGAGGGCGACCUCAGGGAUAGUGCCACAGAAAGCAAACCGCCUGAUUUAUCAGGUAAGGGUGAAAGGGUGCGGUAAGAGCGCACCGCUCCGCUGGUAACAGGGGAGGCAGGGUAAACCCCACCGGGUGCAAAAUCAAAUAGGAACGACCGCCCUGGCGACAGGGCAGCUCUUCUUCCGGAGCGUCGUUCGGGUAGAUUGCACGAGCGGGCUGGCAACAGUCCGCCUAGAUGAAUGGUCAUCCAUUGGGACCGCUUCGGCGAUCUCGAGGACAUAACCCGGCUUACAGGCCAUCUGAAUAU
rnacentral:RNase_P_RNA from 1 species